rnacentral:rRNA from 1 species
CGGCGGUGUGCCUAAUACAUGCAAGUCGAACGCGUUGGCCCAACUGAUUGAUUGUGCUUGCACAGGAUUGACGUUGGUUUCCCAACGAGUGGCGGACGGGUGAGUAACACGUAGGCAACCUGCCCCGAAGCGGGGGACAACAUUUGGAAACAAGUGCUAAUACCGCAUAACAACUUUGACCGCCUGGUCAAAGCUUAAAAGAUGGUUUCGGCUAUCACUUCGGGAUGGGCCUGCGGCGCAUUAGCUUGUUGGUGGGGUAACGGCCUACCAAGGCGAUGAUGCGUAGCCGAGUUGAGAGACUGAUCGGCCACAAUGGGACUGAGACACGGCCCAUACUCCUACGGGAGGCAGCAGUAGGGAAUCUUCCACAAUGGGCGCAAGCCUGAUGGAGCAACACCGCGUGAGUGAAGAAGGGUUUCGGCUCGUAAAGCUCUGUUGUUGAAGAAGAAUGUGCAAGUAGAGUAACUGUUCUUGUAUUGACGGUAUUCAACCAGAAAGUCACGGCUAACUACGUGCCAGCAGCCGCGGUAAUACGUAGGUGGCAAGCGUUAUCCGGAUUUAUUGGGCGUAAAGCGAGCGCAGGCGGUUUUCUAAGUCUGAUGUGAAAGCCUUCGGCUUAACCGAAGAAGUGCAUCGGAAACUGGAUGACUUGAGUGCAGAAGAGGGCAGUGGAACUCCAUGUGUAGCGGUGGAAUGCGUAGAUAUAUGGAAGAACACCAGUGGCGAAGGCGGCUGCCUGGUCUGUAACUGACGCUGAGGCUCGAAAGCAUGGGUAGCGAACAGGAUUAGAUACCCUGGUAGUCCAUGCCGUAAACGAUGAGUGCUAGGUGUUGGAGGGUUUCCGCCCUUCAGUGCCGGAGCUAACGCAU